rfam:Spironucleus salmonicida unplaced genomic scaffold scf7180000020658, whole genome shotgun sequence.
CGAUUCGGUCAUACAGUCAGUUAAACACCACAUCUUGUUCCAAAUUGUGAAGUGAAGCCUGACCUGGCAGUAUUGAGUACUUCGCUGGGAGACUACGAGGGAAAGAGCUGUGCCGAAUUUU